rnacentral:rRNA from 1 species
GAUGAACGCUGGCGGCGUGCCUAAUACAUGCAAGUCGAGCGAACGGACGAGAAGCUUGCUUCUCUGAUGUUAGCGGCGGACGGGUGAGUAACACGUGGAUAACCUACCUAUAAGACUGGGAUACUUCGGGAAACCGGAGCUAAUACCGGAUGAUAUUUUGAACCGCAUGGUUCAAAAGUGAAAGACGGUCUUGCUGUCACUUAUAGAUGGAUCCGCGCUGCAUUAGCUAGUUGGUAAGGUAACGGCUUACCAAGGCAACGAUGCAUAGCCGACCUGAGAGGGUGAUCGGCCACACUGGAACUGAGACACGGUCCAGACUCCUACGGGAGGCAGCAGUAGGGAAUCUUCCGCAAUGGGCGAAAGCCUGACGGAGCAACGCCGCGUGAGUGAUGAAGGUCUUCGGAUCGUAAAACUCUGUUAUUAGGGAAGAACAUAUGUGUAAGUAACUGUGCACAUCUUGACGGUACCUAAUCAGAAAGCCACGGCUAACUACGUG